GUCGGAUAUGGCGACAUCUACCCUACCACCCCGUUGGGGAAAGUAAUUGGUAGUGUCUGUUGUAUCUGUGGGGUACUUGUUGUUGCUCUACCCAUUCCCAUCAUUGUCAACAAU
rfam:Rhodnius prolixus Rhodnius_prolixus-3.0.3-35.59, whole genome shotgun sequence.